rnacentral:rRNA from 1 species
CUUAACGCGAAGAACCUUACCUACUCUUGACAUCCAGAGAACUUUCCAGAGAUGGAUUGGUGCCUUCGGGAACUCUGAGACAGGUGCUGCAUGGCUGUCGUCAGCUCGUGUUGUGAAAUGUUGGGUUAAGUCCCGCAACGAGCGCAACCCUUAUCCUUUGUUGCCAGCGGUUCGGCCGGGAACUCGAAGGAGACUGCCAGUGAUAAACUGGAGGAAGGUGGGGAUGACGUCAAGUCAUCAUGGCCCUUACGAGUAGGGCUACACACGUGCUACAAUGGCGUAUACAAAGAGAAGCGACCUCGCGAGAGCAAGCGGACCUCAUAAAGUACGUCGUAGUCCGGAUUGGAGUCUGCAACUCGACUCCAUGAAGUCGGAAUCGCUAGUAAUCGUAGAUCAGAAUGCUACGGUGAAUACGUUCCCGGGCCUUGUACACACCGAAG